GGUUAAGCGACUAAGCGUACACGGUGGAUGCCCUGGCAGUCAGAGGCGAUGAAGGGCGUGCUAAUCUGCGAUAAGCGCCGGUAAGGUGAUAUGAACCGUUAUAACCGGCGAUACCCGAAUGGGGAAACCCAGUGUGAUUCGUCACACUAUCAUUAACUGAAUCCAUAGGUUAAUGAGGCGAACCGGGGGAACUGAAACAUCUAAGUACCCCGAGGAAAAGAAAUCAACCGAGAUUCCCCCAGUAGCGGCGAGCGAACGGGGAGGAGCCCAGAGCCUGAAUCAGCAUGUGUGUUAGUGGAAGCGUCUGGAAAGGCGCGCGAUACAGGGUGACAGCCCCGUACACAAAAGCGCAUGUGCUGUGAGCUCGAUGAGUAGGGCGGGACACGUGGUAUCCUGUCUGAAUAUGGGGGGACCAUCCUCCAAGGCUAAAUACUCCUGACUGACCGAUAGUGAACCAGUACCGUGAGGGAAAGGCGAAAAGAACCCCGGCGAGGGGAGUGAAAAAGAACCUGAAACCGUGUACGUACAAGCAGUGGGAGCCUCUUUUAUGGGGUGACUGCGUACCUUUUGUAUAAUGGGUCAGCGACUUAUAUUCUGUAGCAAGGUUAACCGUAUAGGGGAGCCG
rnacentral:rRNA from 1 species